rnacentral:rRNA from 1 species
GUACACGCUGUGACUAGCAUAUCAAUAAGCGGAGGAAAAGAAACUAACAAGGAUUCCCUUAGUAACGGCGAGUGAAGCGGGAAGAGCUCAAAUUUGAAAUCUUGAAAGGUCACCUUUCACGAAUUGUAGUUUAAAGAAGUGUUUUCUGUUACGAUCGUAAUAUAAGUUCUUUGGAAUAGGACAUCACAGAGGGUGAGAAUCCCGUCUAUGAUUGCGAUUUGUAGCUUUGUGAUACACUUUCAAAGAGUCGGGUUGUUUGGGAAUGCAGCCCAAAACGGGAGGUAAAUUUCUUCUAAGGCUAAAUAUUGGCGAGAGACCGAUAGCGAACAAGUACCGUGAGGGAAAGAUGAAAAGAACUUUGAAAAGAGAGUUAAAUAGUACGUGAAAUUGUCAAAAGGGAAGCGUUUAACACCAGUGUUGUUUUCUGAAAAUCAACCUCUGUUAGCUUAUGCAUGUUUGUUUAGACCUAAUCAGCUAUCUUUCAUGUUCUAUUGUUUGCAGUGGUGCACUUUUCAGUUUACAGGUCAACAUCAGUUUUUUUUUACCGUAAAAAAGUUAAAGAAAGGUAGCUCAUGGCUCCGGUCGUGAGUGUUAUAGUCUUUUUCCUAUGCGGUAGGAGAGACUGAGGUCUGCAGUGUAGGCUAUUUGGCUAGAUACUCAGGUGCUAUGUGAUACCAUUUCAUAAACAACUUGUUGAUUAUGUUUUGUCUAUUGCAUACUCGCUUGUACUAUCAUACCUACGCUUAGGAUGUUGAGUAGCGACAUACGCAC